rnacentral:rRNA from 1 species
AACGAACGCUGGCGGCAUGCCUAACACAUGCAAGUCGAACGAGACCUUCGGGUCUAGUGGCGCACGGGUGCGUAACGCGUGGGAACCUGCCCUUAGGUUCGGAAUAACUCCCCGAAAGGGGUGCUAAUACCGGAUAAUGUCUUCGGACCAAAGAUUUAUCGCCUUUGGAUGGGCCCGCGUUGGAUUAGCUAGUUGGUAGGGUAAAAGCCUACCAAGGCGACGAUCCAUAGCUGGUCUGAGAGGAUGAUCAGCCACACUGGGACUGAGACACGGCCCAGACUCCUACGGGAGGCAGCAGUGGGGAAUAUUGGACAAUGGGCGAAAGCCUGAUCCAGCAAUCCCGCGUGAGUGAUGAAGGCCUUAGGGUUGUAAAGCUCUUUUACCCGGGAUGAUAAUGACAGUACCGGGAGAAUAAGCUCCGGCUAACUCCGUG